rnacentral:rRNA from 1 species
GAUGAACGCUGGCGGCGUGCCUAAUACAUGCAAGUCGAGCGAACAGACGAGGAGCUUGCUCUGCUGACGUUAGCGGCGGACGGGUGAGUAACACGUGGAUAACCUACCUAUAAGACUGGGAUAACUUCGGGAAACCGGAGCUAAUACCGGAUAAUAUAUUGAACCGCAUGGCUCAAUAGUGAAAGACGGCUUUGCUGUCACCUAUAGAUGGAUCCGCGCCGCAUUAGCUAGUUGGUAAGCUAACGGCUUACCAAGGCGACGAUGCGUAGCCGACCAGAGAGAGUGAACGGCCAAACUAGAACAGAGACACGGUCCAGACUACUAAGGGAGGCAGCAGUAGGGAAUCUUCCGCAAUGGCCGAAAGCCUGACGGAGCGACGCCGCGUGAGAGAUGAAGGUCUUCAGAUCGUAAAACUCUGUUAUUAGGGAGGAACAAAUGUGUAAGUAACUAUGCACGUCUUGACGGUACCUAAUCAGAAAAACACGGCUAACUACGUG